AUUGAAUAAUUUAUAUAAAAAUUUUUGUUUAUUUAUUUAUUUUAUUAAAAGUUAUUUUAUUGAAUUUUAUUUUAGUAAUUAUUUUGAAUUAAUUUAUUUUUAUAAAGAGAUAGUAUUGUGAAAGACUAUAAUUUAAUAUAAUGAAGUAAAUUAUUAUUUUACCUUUUGUAUCAGGGUUUGUUAAAUAAUUUAUACAAAUUUGUAUUUAUCUCGAAAUUAGAAGAGCUAAAUUUAAAUUAUUUUUUAUGUUGAAUUAUUAAUUAUAAAUUUAUAUUUAGGGGUGAAAUGCUAUUCGUUUAUAAUGAUAUCUAGUUUCUUUUGAAAUGAAUUUAAUUCAUAUAUUUAAUUUUUUAAUAAGAUUAUUUUUUUAUUUUGUUAAAUAUAAAAAAUUUAUGGGAUAACCUAUAAAUUUAUGUAUAUAAUUUUGGUUUAAUAUUAUAGAGAUGUGGUUUUAAAAUUUAAUUUCAUUUUGGAUAAUUUAAUAAUUCAUGAGUUGUAAAAUUAAAGAUUUUUAAUUAAAUAUAUUUUUUUAAAAUGAAAUUUUCAAUAAUAGUUAUUGAGAAGUUAUAAUGAUAAAAUUAGUAGAUAAUUUUAGUAAGUUAUUUAAAUAAAAAUUAAAUAAAUUAAAGGAACUCGGCAAAUUUAAUAUUCACCUGUUUAUCAAAAACAUGUCUUUUUGUUUUAUAAUUUAAAGUCUGCUCUGCCCACUGAUUUGAUUAAAUGGCUGCAGUAUACUGACUGUACAAAGGUAGCAUAAUAAUUUGUCUUUUUAUUGAAGGCUUGUAUGAAUGAGUUGAUGAAAUAUUUACUGUCUCUGAUUUAUAUUUUGAAUUUAAAUUUUAAGUAAAAAUGCUUAAAUUUUUAUAUGGGACGAGAAGACCCUAUAGAAUUUUAUAAUUUAUUUUUAAUUAUUAAUAAUAUAUAAAGAUAAAUUAUUUCGUUGGGAGGAUGUUUAAAUUGAUAAAACUUUAAAAUUUUAAACCAAUAAUUUUUGAUUAAAUAGAUAGUUUAUUAAGAAUUGUUAGAUAAAAUUACCUUAGGGAUAACAGCGUAAUAUCUUUGGAGAGAUCAUAUUUAUAAAGAUGAUUGCGACCUCGAUGUUGAAUUAAGAUAUAAUUUAAAUGCAGGAGUUUAAAUUUUAAGUCUGUUCGACUUUUAAAAUCUUACAUGAUUUGAGUUCAGAUCGGUGUGAGCCAGAUCGGUUUCUAUCUAUAUAUUUAUAAAAUAAAUUUUUGUACGAAAGGACUUAAUUUAUGAAUUAUUUUUUCUUAUUUAAUAUUAAAAUUUUAAUUUAUUCU
rnacentral:rRNA from 1 species